rnacentral:rRNA from 1 species
CUACGGGGUGCUGCAGUGAGGAACAUUGCACAAUGGAGGAAACUCUGAUGCAGCAACGCCGCGUGGAGGAUGACGCAUUUCGGUGUGUAAACUCCUUUUAUAUGUCAAGAAAAUGACGGUAGCAUAUGAAUAAGCUCCGGCUAACUCCGUGCCAGCAGCCGCGGUAAUACGGAGGGAGCAAGCGUUACUCGGAAUCACUGGGCGUAAAGGACGCAUAGGCGGGAUAGAAAGUCAGGUGUGAAAUCCUAUGGCUCAACCAUAGAACUGCACUUGAAACUUCUAACCUAGAGUAUGGGAGGGGAAGAUGGAAUUAGUGGUGUAGGGGUAAAAUCCGUAGAUAUCACUAGGAAUACCUAAAGCGAAGGCGAUCUCCUGGAACAUUACUGACGCUAAGGCGUGAAAGCGUGGGGAGCAAACAGGAUUAGAUACCCCUGUAGUC